CGGGGCCGCGGGCCGGCAAGAUGGCGGCGUGGUGUUCGUCGGCGUCGGGUUUGGAGCUGACGGCGCUGGACGGGCGGGUGCUGCGGGUCCCAGCACAGUCCCUUCCCCCAGGAACUCCAUGGCAGUGGCCAAGAGCCCCCUGAAGCAGCUGUUCUGUGUCUGCACCCACAUCUGCCCCCAGCACGUGGACUCCAUGGUGCAGCUGCAGGAGGAGCCCCAGCUCAACACCUCCUCGGAGCACUUUAGCAUCUUUGUGUGGGACUUCAGUUGACACGAUGCCAGCUCUUCCCUGUUCUCAG